rfam:Clostridium homopropionicum DSM 5847 CLHOM_contig000043, whole genome shotgun sequence.
UAAGUCUUUCAGGGCAGGGUGAAAUUCCCGACCGGCGGUAUAGUCCGCGAGCUGUAAUAUCAUAAAGAGUAGUGUUAUUAUGGCAGAUCUGGUUUGAUUCCAGAACCGACAGUAAAGUCUGGAUGGGAGAAUAGGAUUAA